UUAAGCGACUAAGCGUACACGGUGGAUGCCCUGGCAGUCAGAGGCGAUGAAGGACGUGCUAAUCUGCGAUAAGCGUCGGUAAGGUGAUAUGAACCGUUAUAACCGGCGAUUUCCGAAUGGGGAAACCCAGUGUGAUUCGUCACACUAUCAUUAACUGAAUCCAUAGGUUAAUGAGGCGAACCGGGGGAACUGAAACAUCUAAGUACCCCGAGGAAAAGAAAUCAACCGAGAUUCCCCCAGUAGCGGCGAGCGAACGGGGAGCAGCCCAGAGCCUGAAUCAGUGUGUGUGUUAGUGGAAGCGUCUGGAAAGGCGUGCGAUACAGGGUGACAGCCCCGUACACAAAAAUGCACAUACUGUGAGCUCGAUGAGUAGGGCGGGACACGUGGUAUCCUGUCUGAAUAUGGGGGGACCAUCCUCCAAGGCUAAAUACUCCUGACUGACCGAUAGUGAACCAGUACCGUGAGGGAAAGGCGAAAAGAACCCCGGCGAGGGGAGUGAAAAAGAACCUGAAACCGUGUACGUACAAGCAGUGGGAGCACGCUUAGGCGUGUGACUGCGUACCUUUUGUAUAAUGGGUCAGCGACUUAUAUUCUGUAGCAAGGUUAACCGAAUAGGGGAGCCGAAGGGAAACCGAGUCUUAACUGGGCGUUAAGUUGCAGGGUAUAGACCCGAAACCCGGUGAUCUAGCCAUGGGCAGGUUGAAGGUUGGGUAACACUAACUGGAGGACCGAACCGACUAAUGUUGAAAAAUUAGCGGAUGACUUGUGGCUGGGGGUGAAAGGCCAAUCAAACCGGGAGAUAGCUGGUUCUCCCCGAAAGCUAUUUAGGUAGCGCCUCGUGAAUUCAUCUCCGGGGGUAGAGCACUGUUUCGGCAAGGGGGUCAUCCCGACUUACCAACCCGAUGCAAACUGCGAAUACCGGAGAAUGUUAUCACGGGAGACACACGGCGGGUGCUAACGUCCGUCGUGAAGAGGGAAACAACCCAGACCGCCAGCUAAGGUCCCAAAGUCAUGGUUAAGUGGGAAACGAUGUGGGAAGGCCCAGACAGCCAGGAUGUUGGCUUAGAAGCAGCCAUCAUUUAAAGAAAGCGUAAUAGCUCACUGGUCGAGUCGGCCUGCGCGGAAGAUGUAACGGGGCUAAACCAUGCACCGAAGCUGCGGCAGCGACACUAUGUGUUGUUGGGUAGGGGAGCGUUCUGUAAGCCUGUGAAGGUGUACUGUGAGGUAUGCUGGAGGUAUCAGAAGUGCGAAUGCUGACAUAAGUAACGAUAAAGCGGGUGAAAAGCCCGCUCGCCGGAAGACCAAGGGUUCCUGUCCAACGUUAAUCGGGGCAGGGUGAGUCGACCCCUAAGGCGAGGCCGAAAGGCGUAGUCGAUGGGAAACAGGUUAAUAUUCCUGUACUUGGUGUUACUGCGAAGGGGGACGGAGAAGGCUAUGUUGGCCGGGCGACGGUUGUCCCGGUUUAAGCGUGUAGGCUGGUUUUCCAGGCAAAUCCGGAAAAUCAAGGCUGAGGCGUGAUGACGAGGCACUACGGUGCUGAAGCAACAAAUGCCCUGCUUCCAGGAAAAGCCUCUAAGCAUCAGGUAACAUCAAAUCGUACCCCAAACCGACACAGGUGGUCAGGUAGAGAAUACCAAGGCGCUUGAGAGAACUCGGGUGAAGGAACUAGGCAAAAUGGUGCCGUAACUUCGGGAGAAGGCACGCUGAUAUGUAGGUGAAGUCCCUCGCGGAUGGAGCUGAAAUCAGUCGAAGAUACCAGCUGGCUGCAACUGUUUAUUAAAAACACAGCACUGUGCAAACACGAAAGUGGACGUAUACGGUGUGACGCCUGCCCGGUGCCGGAAGGUUAAUUGAUGGGGUCAGCGCAAGCGAAGCUCUUGAUCGAAGCCCCGGUAAACGGCGGCCGUAACUAUAACGGUCCUAAGGUAGCGAAAUUCCUUGUCGGGUAAGUUCCGACCUGCACGAAUGGCGUAAUGAUGGCCAGGCUGUCUCCACCCGAGACUCAGUGAAAUUGAACUCGCUGUGAAGAUGCAGUGUACCCGCGGCAAGACGGAAAGACCCCGUGAACCUUUACUAUAGCUUGACACUGAACAUUGAGCCUUGAUGUGUAGGAUAGGUGGGAGGCUUUGAAGUGUGGACGCCAGUCUGCAUGGAGCCGACCUUGAAAUACCACCCUUUAAUGUUUGAUGUUCUAACGUUGACCCGUAAUCCGGGUUGCGGACAGUGUCUGGUGGGUAGUUUGACUGGGGCGGUCUCCUCCUAAAGAGUAACGGAGGAGCACGAAGGUUGGCUAAUCCUGGUCGGACAUCAGGAGGUUAGUGCAAUGGCAUAAGCCAGCUUGACUGCGAGCGUGACGGCGCGAGCAGGUGCGAAAGCAGGUCAUAGUGAUCCGGUGGUUCUGAAUGGAAGGGCCAUCGCUCAACGGAUAAAAGGUACUCCGGGGAUAACAGGCUGAUACCGCCCAAGAGUUCAUAUCGACGGCGGUGUUUGGCACCUCGAUGUCGGCUCAUCACAUCCUGGGGCUGAAGUAGGUCCCAAGGGUAUGGCUGUUCGCCAUUUAAAGUGGUACGCGAGCUGGGUUUAGAACGUCGUGAGACAGUUCGGUCCCUAUCUGCCGUGGGCGCUGGAGAACUGAGGGGGGCUGCUCCUAGUACGAGAGGACCGGAGUGGACGCAUCACUGGUGUUCGGGUUGUCAUGCCAAUGGCACUGCCCGGUAGCUAAAUGCGGAAGAGAUAAGUGCUGAAAGCAUCUAAGCACGAAACUUGCCCCGAGAUGAGUUCUCCCUGACUCCUUGAGAGUCCUGAAGGAACGUUGAAGACGACGACGUUGAUAGGCCGGGUGUGUAAGCGCAGCGAUGCGUUGAGCUAACCGGUACUAAUGAACCGUGAGGCUUAACCU
rnacentral:rRNA from 1 species